UAGUCAUCUGUUAAUAAACUCUACUUAAGUAAGCACACUAAUAUUACACACAACAAUAAAAUUAAAUCAAUACUCUCUGGUUAGGAAUCUUUGAAAAUCGCAACUAAAAGGCGCAAUGUGUUGAAAAUAUAAGUUGGAAAAGGACACUAAUCAGGCUGAGGUGUAAAUCUUCUAAACCAAGAGCGACAUGGCCAAGGAACCCCCCCUUAUAAAGCAGGUGGCGAAGGUUUUUCUACUAGGAUUCACACUACGAUCUUACUCGGAUGGCCAAAAGGGUAGAGAUGGCCAGGCAAGGAGCACUAGUGUGGGCCACGAGAUGUCCCGAUGGAUCUGCUGGAUGUCCACCCAAAAGGAUACAACCAAAUCCCGACGGCUGAAGGACCCUUAUUCCCGGAAUCUCGGAAAGCGUCAGGAAUUUGGCGAUAAGGUGCUGAAGUUUCGGUCGUAGAUGAGUGGCGGAGGUCAGCAAUGAACGGAAUGGUAGCUUCAGAAUGUGCAACCAUUGCCAUAGAAGGACUGGCAGUCUGCAUGCAUGAGCUUUUACAAAGCCAGUGCAGCGCAUUGUCCUUGCUUAAUUGUCUGCAAGGACAACAGGCACUAGCUGGAGUUACAGGAGCAGGAGCAAGAGCAGUAUCAGGAACAGGCGCUGAGCUAGGAUAAGGAGACGGAGGCGAAGGAGCUGGUACCGGAGUAGGACUAAAAGUAGGAGUUGGAGCACAAGGACUUGGACUUGAAGUUGCGGCAGCCAGGUUGACAACAAGAAGUGCCUCCUGUGUCCUGUGCGUCCUGUGUGUCCUGUGUGUGCUGUGUGUGUUGUGUGUGCCACCGCACAACAGUUGCAUAAUUCUCGCAAUUGUCUUCUGGCCUCCGCAUAUCCUGGCUGGAAGGCAUACUCCCCAUAUACACACCAGAUACACAUGUUCCCAUGUCCUGGCCUGGAACAUAAACUCCCCGGCAUCUCCGGCAGUUGCAACUUCAUUUGUGUUCUCGGGCAACUUGGCAAAACUUUCGAGUGUAAAUAAUUGUCAGGCACUCCGCUUGGUCCUCGGUCCUCCGUGUUUUUGCAGUUUAUAGAAAAGAAACUCAACCGCAAAAAUUUGUCUGCAGGCAGCAGGCCUCUCCUUGAUUUCAGAUCCUACUCACCAUUUAUGGUUAUUUAUAUGCUCCAGAAAUGGGGAGACCAAGUCCAAGUGCAAGUCCUUUAUGCAGCCAUUUGCAGCAGCUUCAAUUAGUUGUUGUGGGAGUGUUAUCCUGCGGGAACAUAUCUGGAGUAUAUGUCACAAUUUUCCAAUCCCUUUGACCAGAAAGACA
rnacentral:sRNA from 1 species